GAUGAACGCUGGCGGCGUGCCUAAUACAUGCAAGUCGAGCGAACGGACGAGAAGCUUGCUUCUCUGAUGUUAGCGGCGGACGGGUGAGUAACACGUGGAUAACCUACCUAUAAGACUGGGAUAACUUCGGGAAACCGUAGCUAAUACCGGAUAAUAUUUUGAACCGCAUGGUUCAAAAGUGAAAGACGGUCUUGCUGUCACUUAUAGAUGGAUCCGCGCUGCAUUAGCUAGUUGGUAAGGUAACGGCUUACCAAGGCAACGAUGCAUAGCCGACCUGAGAGGGUGAUCGGCCACACUGGAACUGAGACACGGUCCAGACUCCUACGGGAGGCAGCAGUAGGGAAGCUUCCGCGAUGGGCGAAAGCCUGACGGAGCAACGCCGCGUGAGUGAUGAAGGUCUUCGGAUCGUAAAACUCUGUUAUUAGGGAAGAACAUAUGUGUAAGUAACUGUGCACAUCUUGACGGUACCUAAUCAGAAAGCCACGGCUACCUACGU
rnacentral:rRNA from 1 species